CCCUAACCGCUUUUAAAUGUAUAUAAGCUCUUAGAUGAAAUCCUGAUUUGAUUAGUUCAACAAAAGCUUCUAGAAGUGGAGGUUUAUAGCGGUUUUUUCAUUCCAUCAAUUUCUCCCCACGUCACUCUGAAACCUCUUCAAAUGUGGCGUCACACUCAUCUCAUCUAUUUACGUUUACAUAUUGCAAAACAGGGAACAAGCAGAGAGGUUUCUUUCAAAUAGAGUUGGGAGUAUUUACUUUGGAGAGAUCCGCAGUGGUGGAACGGCGGUCCCGGAAUUUGUGAAUUGAGAAGAGGGUGCACUGUGUAAAAAGUGGUGAAGAAAGCAUAUAGAGACAAAAUUAAUUUAUUCUCUAUAAGGCCACGUAUCAUAGGAGGUGAGCGAUCAAGUUACAGCGUCGAGCACUUAUGGUCAAGUGAUUCGAUGCAAAGUUAACAGCCGCGGUGGCUUGGGAAGCCGGAAAUUCGCGGGUGAUUGAAGAAGUGGAGGAGGCACCACUGCAGAAAAUGAAAGUCCGAAUUAAGAUCCUCUUCACUUCCCUCUACCACGCCAAUGUUGACUUCUGGGAAGCAAAGACAUGAGGCUAGAGGGGUUGUGGAGAGUGCUUGGGAAUGAGUGACAAAUCUACAGCUAGGGGAGAUGAAUUUUGUUAACAUGAACACAUGUUACCUUCUCACGAUGUGUUUGAAGUCCAAUGAAGAAACCCUAAUUUGUGUGAUGAAUGAAGAAGAAAGGGGUUUUAAAUGAAUGAGAGAGGGUAAAUUGACUUAAAGGACAUGUAGUGCACAUUUUAAAGACAAAAAAUAAAGAGUGAAAUUUUGUGUGUAAAUAAAGGACAAUAUGUGUAAUUUACUCUAAUUUUUAAUUAUUAUGGAGUAAAAUCAAUUAGUUUUUUUAUUA